UACCACAGCCAUAUCAUCCUGCAGCCCAAGCAGUUACUCACUGAAGCUAAGCAGGGCUGAGCUUGGCCAGUACCUGGAUGGGAGACCACAUGGGAAAACUAGGUUGCUGUUGGAA
ensembl:rRNA 5S_rRNA 5S ribosomal RNA